rnacentral:rRNA from 1 species
UACGAAGGGGGCUAGCGUUGCUCGGAAUCACUGGGCGUAAAGCGCACGUAGGCGGCUUACUAAGUCAGGGGUGAAAUCCUGGAGCUCAACUCCAGAACUGCCUUUGAUACUGGGGAUCUUGAGUCCGGGAGAGGUGAGUGGAACUGCGAGUGUAGAGGUGAAAUUCGUAGAUAUUCGCAAGAACACCAGUGGCGAAGGCAGCUCGCUGGGACGUUACUGACGCUGAGGCGCGAAAGCGUGGGGAGCAAACAGG